CAGCAGUGGGUGUGUCCUUUAAAUGAUGGCUGCUCUUAUUCAAUAGUACAAAGAACUGCCAUCAACCUACCAGAUGGAUAGUGGCUGGGCCUAAAAGUAACAACAAAUUCAGUGACUGGGAAGCACUAAUAAUGAAAUAACAUUGUGAAUAAACCACUUCAAUCAAGGCAGCUAAAGAAUGCCCCCAGUUUCAUAAAGUCAUUCAUAACAAGACUUAAACUCAAAUGGAAGUACACUGAAGUGUAUUUUAAUGUGCCUGUCUAUUUUACAAUAUUUGUUUUCUAUU